rnacentral:rRNA from 1 species
GUGGGGAAUCUUCCGCAAUGGACGAAAGUCUGACGGAGCAACGCCGCGUGAGUGAUGAAGGUCUUCGGAUUGUAAAGCUCUGUUAAUCGGGACGAAAGAGCCUAGUGUGAAUAAUGCUAGGAAGUGACGGUACCGGAAUAGAAAGCCACGGCUAACUACGUGCCAGCAGCCGCGGUAAUACGUAGGUGGCAAGCGUUGUCCGGAAUUAUUGGGCGUAAAGCGCGCGCAGGCGGAUCUGCCAGUCUGUCUUAAAAGUUCGGGGCUUAACCCCGUGAUGGGAUGGAAACUACAGAUCCAGAGUAUCGGAGAGGAAAGUGGAAUUCCUAGUGUAGCGGUGAAAUGCGUAGAUAUUAGGAAGAACACCAGUGGCGAAGGCGACUUUCUGGACGAAAACUGACGCUGAGGCGCGAAAGCCAGGGGAGCGAACGGGAUUAGAAACCCCGGUAGUCC